GAUGAACGCUGGCGGCGUGCUUAACACAUGCAAGUCGAACGAAGCGCUUAGAAUUGAGAUUUCGGUUGAUUGAAUAAGUGACUUAGUGGCGGACGGGUGAGUAACGCGUGGGUAACCUGCCUCGUACAGGGGGAUAACAGUUAGAAAUGACUGCUAAUACCGCAUAACCCGCUAGAGUCGCAUGACUCGGACGGAAAAGAUUUAUCGGUACGAGAUGGACCCGCGUCUGAUUAGCUAGUUGGUGGGGUAACGGCCCACCAAGGCGACGAUCAGUAGCCGGCCUGAGAGGGUGAACGGCCACAUUGGGACUGAGACACGGCCCAAACUCCUACGGGAGGCAGCAGUGGGGAAUAUUGCACAAUGGGGGAAACCCUGAUGCAGCGACGCCGCGUGAGUGAAGAAGUAUUUCGGUAUGUAAAGCUCUAUCAGCAGGGAAGAAAAUGACGGUACCUGACUAAGAAGCCCCGGCUAACUACGUG
rnacentral:rRNA from 1 species